CGCCCGAAACGCCCUCAUUAAACUACACCCCAAAAAAGGGAAAACAUGUUGAUAGCUAACAUCGGCUCUAUUUACACUCUAUUCAGCAACGCUGUCUAAUUCAGUAGAUAGACGGAACGAUUCAAUGUAAAAAGGCAUCACCAUAGGAAGAGCUUUGGUGUACAUGCAAGAGGAUUUCAUCUUGAUAACACAUUGGUCUCUCUCUUCUCAGCCAAAUAUUCUUUAGCACAUUGACGGCAUCGUGUAUGCCUGAUUGCAGACAAGCUGGCCGGCAUCCAUCUCCCUUUUCAGGGAGACGGCCUUCGCAUCUUCUCUACAUGGAAAGAGCCGACAGUGUAAAAAAAAAAGAAAGAAAAAAGAUUCUGUCGUGUGUUAGGUUCUCAGUUGACCCGACCGCAAAGCCCCGAUGUAUUCCGGCAACCAGAUCAGUAGCAUCAGUAGUGCAGCUGUUAACAAAUAGAGAAAAAAAAAAAUUAUUUGGACAUUGAAAUAUCCUCUACCCCGGCUCCGUUGGCUCAGGUUUGAUUGGAAUGUGUGAUGGGCUUCGAGUUCGAAACUCAGCCUCCCCAUUUAUUUUUUUUUCUUGUAUCCUGUCUAAAUGGGAUGCCCGGCGAUAUGCUCACAGGCACCUAAACAACAUAUAAAUGUAAAGUGUGUUUAUACGAUAUAUUUCGAUGAUAAAAAGCAAAUCCCAGCUCGAGGAAUGAAAAAUAAAUAGAAACAUUGACAGUCAUAAACAGAAGAUGAUACUCUCGAACGCCAUGGAACAAAAAAAAAAUAUGAAUGUCCUUUUUGUUUGUAUUCAACCCACAUCGGAAAAUUUUUUUUCAACCCUAUCGAUAGAUCAAAAAACACCAGCCAUCACCGAAACGAAAGAGAUGCACGGAGGAAA